UGCCGGGCUAGCUCGACGGAGCGAAAAGGGUGCGCCCCCGCCCUGCCCGGCACACCACACCUUCCGUGGGGG
rfam:Thauera chlorobenzoica strain 3CB1, complete genome.